AAAAAAAAAAAAAGAAAAAAAAAAAGCAAGACACGACGAGUCGUUCACAACCUACAAGUUGCCAUUUUGAGAUUUCUCUUGCCCUAAUUUCCUUCUGUGUUUCCCAAUUACCAGUCAAGCUUCAACUCCCAUCUAGCUUUUCUUUUAAUUCGGUUCACUCAGUCUCCGGUAGUUUAAGAGGCUGAGCUAAAGAGAAAGAAAAGGAGUGAUUUAUAUAUUUAAAGGAGGGAAAAUGGCUGCCUUCAUCAAUCUACAGGAUUCCCCAAUGUUCCAGAAGGAGAUAUGUUCUCUUGAACAGAUAGCCGAGGAGUUGAAUGAUCGCUGCCAACAACUGUAUAAAGGGUGUAAGAGGUUUAUGGUAGCUCUUGGAGAUGCAUGCAGUGCAGACACCACUUUUGCUGAUUCCUUGGAAGCAUUUGGUGGUGGACAAGAUGACCCUGUUAGUGUAUCUAUAGGAGGCCCUGUCAUAUCCAAGUUCAUCAAUGCAUUUCGUGAGCUUUCUACAUAUAAAGAGCUUCUCCGUUCUCAAGUAGAGCACGUAUUAAUUGAUCGACUUGUGCACUUUAUGGAUGUUGAUCUACAAGAUGCUAAGGAGUCUCGCAAGCGCUUUGACAAAGCCUUUUAUGCUUAUGAUCAGUCACGUGAAAAGUUUGCAUCUUUGAAGAAAAAUACUCGUG
rnacentral:misc_RNA from 1 species